UCAGUGCGGCGCGAAGAUGGCGGCGGCGGCGGCGGGCCCCGGGGCGACCCAGGCACCGAGCUCGCUGCUGCUCGUGGUGGGCGGCGAGUGCGGGUGCUCGGGGCUGCUUGCUUAUGUGCUGGAGGAGCUCGAACGAGGCAUCCGGUCCUGGGACAUUGACCCUGGCAUUUGCAGCCUUGACGAGCAGCUCAAGAUUUUCGUGUCCCGGCACUCUGCCACCUUCUCCAGCAUCGUGAAAGGCCAGCGGAGCCUGCACCACCGCGGAGACGCCCUGGAGACACUGGUCCUCCUGAAUCCAUCAGACAAGUCCCUGUGCGACGAGCUCCGGAACCUUCUGCUGGACCCUGCCCCUCAUAAGCUGCUGGUAUUGGCUGGGCCCUGCCUGGAAGGGACAGGGGAGCUGCUGCUCCAGACGGGGGGCUUCUCGCCCCGCCACUUCCUCCAGGUCCUAGGGGACAAAGAGAUCCGGGAUCUUCUGGCAUCCACACCCCCACCUGCAGACCUGCCGAAGCUCACCAUCACCUGCCCAACCUUCGGUGACUGGGCCCAGCUGGCACCUGAGGUGCUGGGCCUCCAGGGCGCGCUCCGGGUGCAGUGGAACCCACCCGUGCAGCUGCCGGCUUCCGAGGGCCUGCGCCAGUUCCUGGAGUACGUGGCCGAGUCGCUGGAGGCCCCGUCUCCCUUUGAGCUGCUCGAGCCGCCAGCGUCCGUGGGCUUCCUCAGGCUCGCCCGGCCUUGCUGCUACAUCUUCCCCGGCGGCCUCGGCGACGCCGCCUUCUUCGCCGUCAAUGGCUUCACCGUGCUGGUCAACGGUGGCUCCAACCCCAAGUCGAGCUUUUGGAAGCUGGUGCGGCACCUGGACCGGGUGGACGCCGUGCUGGUGACCCACGCCGGCGCCGACAGCCUCCCGGGCCUCAACAGUCUCCUGCGGCGCAAGCUGGCCGAGCGAGAUGAGGCGGCGGCCGGCGGGGGCUCCGGGGACGACAGGCUCCGCAGGCUCAUCUCCCCCAACCUGGGGGUCGUGUUCCUCAACGCCCGCGUGGCCAUCUCGCGUCUGGUGAGCGGCGAGGACGAGGCGGAGCUGGCCCUGAGCCUCUUGGCCCGGCUAGGCAUCGCGCCCCUGACUCUGAACCGCGGGCCGCUCCCGGCCGAGCCCACCGUGCUCUUUCAGAAGAUGGGCGUGGGCCGGCUGGACAUGUAUGUGCUGCACCCGCCCGCGGCUGGUGCUGACCGCUCGUCGGCCUCCGUGUGCGCCCUGCUAGUGUGGCACCCCGCGGGCCCCACCGAGAAGGUGGUGCGCGUGCUGUUCCCCGGCUGCACACCUCCCGCCCGCCUCCUGGAUGGCCUGGUCCGCCUGCAGCACCUGGGGUUCUUGCGAGAGCCUGUGGUGACUCCCCAGGACCUAGUGGGGCCUCGGCGAGCUGAGAGCAAGGAAAGCGUGGGCUCCCGGGACAGCUUAAGAAGAGAAGGCCGGGCAACGGCAACGGCCAGGCCUGCCCCGGAGCGCCCUGUGGGGGCCCGGAAGGACCCGCCUCGAGUCGAGGCCCCCCGCAGGGCUGAGAAAGAAGCCAGGCUCCCCCGGGAGGUGAAGAAGGACCCCAAGCCAAGCGUCCCUCGGACCCAGCCCCAGGAGGUGCGCCGGGCAGCCUCCGCUUCGGUCAGCGUGAAGAAGGCGGGUGCCCAGGCCGCCCCCAGGCCCCGCAGGGCACCCAAUAUCCCCCGCCCGGGCGUCCCGCCGGCGGAGAACGGGCCCCACGGCCCCCCCAGCUUCCGCUGUGGAGAGGCCAGCCCACCGCCGCCAGAGGCCUGCGGCUCCCCCGCCCCCCAGCUGGUGGCCACCCCCAGCCAGGAGAGGAGCCUGGAGCUGGGGCUGAGCCCGGCCGGGGAGGACGGCGGCACCUUGGAGGAGAAGACGCUGGAGCUGCUUUUGGGUGCCAGCACCCCCCGGCCGCGUACACCCUCGCCUACCGGAGCCCACCAGGGCCCUGUGGAGGGCAGCGGGCGGCUGUCGCUGAGCCCGCUGCGGGGCGGGGAGGCUGGGCCGGAUGCCUCGCCCACGGUGACCACACCGUCACUGCCUGCCGAGGUGGGAUCCCCGCACUCCACGGAGGUGGACGAGUCCCUGUCCGUCUCCUUCGAGCAGGUGCUGCCGCCGCCGCCCGCCACCGCGGGCGAGGCUGGGCUGAGCCUCCCCCUCCGCGGCCCCCGGGUACGGCGAUCGGCCUCCCCGCACGACGUGGACCUGUGCCUGGUGUCACCCUGUGAGUUUGAGCACCGGAAGGCUGUGCCCGUGGUGCCCGCGCCCGCGUCCCCGGGCAGCUCUGAUAGCAGUGCCCGGUCCCAGGAGCGGGCGGGGGCCCCGGGAGCUGAGGAGACCCCACCCACCUCCGUCAGUGAGUCCCUGCCCACCCUGUCUGACUCGGACCCCCUGCCUGCCGCCCCCGGCAUCGCGGACUCGGAUGAAGACAUGGAGGGCGCAGGGGUCCCCCGCCGUGACCCGCUGCCCGAGCCCCUCAAGUUCCCCCCGCCGCUGCCCACCCCGCCCAGCAUCUGCAUGGUGGACCCCGAGGUGCUCCCCCCUGAGCAGGCCCGGCUGACGGAGGGCCACGGCCGCACCCGGAAGUCCGGGGUUCGCCCUCAGCCCAGCACUGCCACCUCCAAAGCCACUCCCGCGACCACUGCCAAAACCAAGGGACUGGCCGGUGGAGACCGGGCCGGUCGGCCCUUUGGCACCCGGAGCGAGCCCAGUGACAAGGGAGGUCGGGCACCCCUGUCCAGAAAGUCCUCGGUCCCCAAGACGACCACUCGGGGCCCAUCCGGGUCAGCUGGCAGCCGGCCAGGUGGGUCAGCAGCCCCUCCCGGCUCCCCCGUCUACCUCGACCUGGCCUACCUGCCCAGCGGGAGCAGCGCCCGGCUGGUGGACGAGGAAUUCUUCCGAAGGGUGCGUGCGCUCUGUUAUGUCAUCAGUGGCCAGGACCAGCGCAAGGAAGAGGGCAUGAGGGCUGUCCUGGAUGCACUGCUGGCCGGCAAGCAGCAAUGGGACCGUGACCUCCAGGUGACCCUGAUCCCCACCUUCGAUUCCGCGGCCAUGCACGAGUGGUACGAGGAGACACACGCCCGGCACCAGGCGCUGGGCAUCACCGUGCUGGGCAGCAACAGCACCGUGUCCAUGCAGGACGAGGCCUUCCCCGCCUGCAAGGUCGAGUUCUAGCUCGGCGCCUGACACCCGCCCCCGCAGCCCGGCAUCCGCCCCGACCCUGAGAUUCACCUGCGUCACAAAUAAACCAGAGAUACCUCAUGCUGGUGGCAGGAGAGUCACAUGCCACAGGGAGGUCUUAGAGGAGAACCUGGAACCCAGAGAUUACAAAACAUCCAUUCCCGAAGAACCCCUUGCCUGCUCUCUGCACGCGUGGAGAUAACCUAGCUAGAACGUUAGACGAGGUGCCCUGCGUCCUGGGUUGAACGGCGACCCGAAAAGCGUACAUCUGAGCCCUGACACCUGAUAUCUGUGAGUGUGACUGUUAAGUGAAGGCUCUUGAGAUUCUCUGGAUGGGCCCUAAGUCCAAUGACGCGUGUCCUUAUAAGAGACAGAGGAGGUGACACAGAGGGGAAGAGCACGCGGAGAUGGAGGCAGAGACUGGGGUGAUGGGGUGAUGGGGCCGCAGCCAAGGAAUGCUGCAGCCCCAGAAGCUGGUGAGGAGUGAUUCUCCCCUAGAACUUUCUGAAGGAACCGACCCUGUGCACACCUUGAUUUCAGAGCUGGGCCUCCAGAACUGCAAGAAUGAACUGUUGUGUGUGGGACCUUGUAACGGUCCCGGGAGAUGUUCUGAGCUGGUCGGCACACGGCUCGCUUCCCCCCACACGGUGGCCCGAGUCCCUGUGCGUGGUCGCGUAGGUGUCCUGGUACAGACUCCUUCCUCCGGCCGUCUCGGGCCCCGGCUCGGCGCGUCCAGGCUGCUGUGGCACAAUACCAGGCGGCUUCCCCGACAGACGCUUCCUUCCCGCAGCUCCGGAGGCUGGACGGCUGAGACCAGGGUGCCAGGGGUCGGCCGAGGGCGGGCCCUCCGGCUUCCAGAUGGCUGCCUUCUGGCUGUGUCCCCGCGUGGACAGGGAGGGGGCGUGGGGGCACAUCCUCUCACGGCCCCUCCUUCGGCAGCACCAACCCCGGGAUGGGACCCCCACCCCCCUGGCCUCCGCGACCUAACCCCCUCCCGAAGCGACCCCCUCCAGACACCAUCACGAAGGGGAGUGGGGCUCACGCAUAGGAAAUGAGGGGGUGUUUUGCACUAGUUAGGGCUCAGCUGAUCGAUGACUAGUGUCGUGGUUGGACUGGCCUUUGUGGUUCUGCUUACAAGACGCCCUUCCUCCGGACACCCAUCGGGAAACUGAAAAAAAAUAAAGGUUUCUCACUUACCAGACCUGGAGAUCACCCAGCGCCCCCAGGGCCACAUAGUGAGAGGGGCGAGGGGGGACUGAGACAGAGCUGCUUGGUCACUGGCUGGGCCUCUGCUCUUAUUGGGUCCAGGAUGGGAGCCCAGGGUUUCCAGGGCCCAUUGUUUCUUGGUAAACUUAAAACCUCCCGGUGGGAAUUUAAAGCGAUGGGAGGGAGCAAAAACAAAACAAAACGAGUGGCCCGAAAGGCCAGUUACCAAAAUCAACCAAGACCUCUAAAACAAGGAGCCACAGUCGGGGCAGGCAGCCUCUUUCUCUAGAGGCGUGGCUGGCGAGUAGGUUCAUUCCAGCUACCAUCUUUGAAGAGGAUGCCUGGGCAAUCAAAGCUUACGUCCCGCACUCGCAUCACAAGAAGGAAACAAACUGGCCUUACCCCACAGGGGGGCACACAAUUCCGUCUGGAGCUGGCAGGGCCGCAGCAGCCAGGGACACGUCUUGCCUACCAAGGGUUGGUUUGUGGGACCUGACUGCUUCGUGUGGGAGCCACCGAACCGGCGUCUGGCGGUCUUCCUGUGGGAUGUCGGGACUUGGCAAGGCCGGGCAUCAGGAAGGGCAGGUGGACGCCAAGGGAACCUGCGUGGGCGCCCACAGGGACAGGGCCCACAAGGGCACCGUCGCUGAGGCCGCGACCAAGGUCAAUGCGCACCUGGCCGGGACAGGUGCGGCAGCCGCCUGGGGAGCUCCCCAGCGCCUGGGACCUGGGUCUGUGACCCUGCGCCCUCUGUCCGUUUACUGGGAAAGCGGAAGUGCUGGGAUCCGAGCGCCCCCCCGCCAGGCGUGUCCUUCGCAAAGCAUGCGGGUUAGGGUUACGGCCCUUUGUCUUGCCUUUUCCUGUUGCGGUAAGGGUGGGCUUCUUCGCUCAGGGCCUGGGGGCGGGCCGCUGUUUAUAACACUGCCCGAGGUGACAUUUUGGCCAGACUGCCCUGUGGCAGGUGCUGCCUCCAAUUCUCCAUUUCGAUUAUCACCAGGGAGGGUUUCGCAUUGGUAUUAAUUGUUUAAUUGGCUGCUUCCACUGUUUUAUUAUAGGUGUUUCUUCUCACUGAUACGUCACAACUCUACUUUCUCAAGAAACGUGAGAAGGUUUUUAAUUGUGCUAAAAAACACGUAAGAUUUACCAUCUUAACCAUUAAGCUCUUGUGCGGUGAGUUUGUUUCCCUCCCCCCCCCACAUCUUUCCACUUUAUGAACAGUUUUUCUGUAAGCAUUUUGUUUUCAUGGUUUUCAAACCACAAUCUUUAAAGGUCUUCCUCGCGGCUGGCACAAGUUCUCCCAUGGUGUUUUCUCUGUGUUUCUCAUGUUAACUUUUAUUUUUAUCCGUCUAGGACUUAUUUGGGCAUGAAGAGAGAUGGAGGCGUUGCCCGAGCCCCAAGGGCCAGCCGAUUGUCCCGGGCCUGGUGCAGAUUUGAAACGCUCCCUCCUCCCUAAGACCCCAGUGGGUUUGCGUCUGUUUCUACAUCUGCUCUAAUCCAUCACCAGCUUUUCUGGCCCUCUCCCCUCUAUUUUCACUGGUAUAUAGUCUGGUGUCUCUUAAUAGCUGCUUAGCAGGUUCUUUCUCCUUAAUUUUAUUUUUUCCCUUCUUAAAUUCCCAGCUGUUUUCACAUGCUCCUUCCUCUUGGGAGUUCUAGAAUCUGCACAGAGGGCCCCAAACACAUGUAUGAGAAACGUCACGGGGGCGCCUGGCUGGCUCCUCUGGUAAAGAAUGUGACUCUUGAUCUUGGGGUUGUGAGUUCUAGCCCCACGCUGGGUGUUGAG